rnacentral:rRNA from 1 species
CCUACGGGUGGCAGCAGUGGGGAAUAUUGCACAAUGGGGGAAACCCUGAUGCAGCGACGCCGCGUGAGUGAAGAAGUCUUUCUGGAUGUAAAGCUCUCUCAGCAGGGGAGAAAAAAGACGGUACCUGACUCCGCCGCCCCGGCUCACUACGUGCCAGCAGCCGCGGUACUACGUAGGGGGCAAGCGUUAUCCGGAAUUACUUGGUGUAAAGGGAGCGUAGACGGCGCGGCAAGUCUGAAGUGAAAGUCAGGGGCGUAACCCCUGAACUGCGUUGGAAACUGCCAUGCUAGAGUGCGGGAGAGGUAAGUGGAAUUCCUAGUGUAGCGGUGAAAUGCGUAGAUAUUAGGAGGAACACCAGUGGCGAAGGCGGCUUACUGGACAGUAACUGACGUUGAGGCUCGAAAGCGUGGGGAGCAAACAGGAUUAGAUACCCCUGUAGUC